UACGAAGGGUGCAAGCGUUACUCGGAAUUACUGGGCGUAAAGCGUGCGUAGGUGGUUUUUUAAGUCCGUUGUGAAAGCCCUGGGCUCAACCUGGGAAUGGCAGUGGAUACUGGAAAGCUAGAGUGCGGUAGAGGGUAGUGGAAUUCCCGGUGUAGCAGUGAAAUGCGUAGAGAUCGGGAGGAACACCAGUGGCGAAGGCGGCUACCUGGACCAGCACUGACACUGAGGAGCGAAAGCGUGGGGAGCAAACAGG
rnacentral:rRNA from 1 species